CGGUAAUUCCCUCUUAUUUGGGGUUCGCCUAUCUUGUUCUUGUGAUGUAGAUUCGCAAGCCAUUUUGCCAAGAAUGCAGUUGCUCGAUGCUCGCUUGUUCUCCUAUUUCCUGAGCGUAAUGAUUGCUGGUAGCGGUAGAUUGAACUGAUGGGAGUAUUAAUCAUGUUUACAUUUCCAGGUUGAGAGAAAAUGGUGCUACCCGUC
rnacentral:misc_RNA from 1 species